ensembl:lncRNA
GUCCCCUGCUCGGAAAGGGCUCUGGGGUGAGGGGAAUGGGGAAGUCCUUCCUCCUGUGCCCAUGGGGCGUGUAUUUCACCCAUCCGUGCUGGGCACUGGGAGCAGUGGGGUGGAACCAGCAGCACACGUGGUGGGCUGAGGUGUGUCUGUGUCAGAGCCCAGGGCACGUGGCUGAGACAAGACCAUAGAUGGAAUCAAGCAGCAGAGCGAGGGGAUAAAACUGGGCUGAAGCUCACUUUGGGAACCCUAGCAGAGGGUGAGCUUCAGCGUGAAAAAGGAACUGCCUGCGCUGGUGCUGGGAGGAUGCAGCCUCCACCCCUCCACCGCACGUGAUUUGGAUGCUGGAGGUCUUCUGGAGCAGUGGCCAAAGAAGGAGCCAUGAGCAUCCUGGUGGUGAAGGGCAUCCUGCCCCUGCUGCUCCUUGCCUGGCCGUCUGCUGGACUCGCUCACCAGUCUCCAGGCAUGACUUCCGUGUCCUUCGGGUCAGAUCUCACCCUUCACUGUCUGCCAAAAAGCCCUGGCAAGGAGUUGGUGUGGUGUAACACCUUAAACAAGAAGAUGGCAGAGGAAGGCACAGGGACUCAUCUACAUGAGGAAAAUGGUUCUUCCAACCUCACCUUUACGGGAUGUGACUGCAGCUCAGAGGCUCAGGAGCAGCAGCUGCUGGAGGAGGGCACAGUUAUUAAAUGCAUGUUUUGCGAGCACGGUGGGAUAUAUCUGCUGCAAGGCACAGCACUCGCUGUUUUGUUUCCUGCAGGGAACCUGCUGUGCAGGUUCAUGGUCUGGUCAGAGAAUAAGACCAUGCACGUGAGGUGGUGGACGUGUCCAGAGCCUCCCAAUGACCCCUUGAACCACAGCAAGGCACGUCACAACAACCGCUAUGGCAGCAUGAAUGCAGCCAGCACAGAGUCCAUUAUGUGUGCCGUGUCAAGCAGAAACUUCACAGGCACUGAAAAUGCCACCCAAGGGAUGGUUCCCAGCUCUGACCCCAAGACUUCUCCGACCCGUGAGCCUCAGACCCGGGAAGGUCUCAUAGCAAUCAUCUACCUGUAUGCCAUCCCGGGAUUAGUGGUUGUGACUCUUUUCUUCCUGUUUUGUAUUUUGGUGUGCCUGUGCAGAAGAAACCAAAGGAAAGCUAAAGGAACUCUUGAAAGCGUGCAUGCAGCAGAGACAAAUCAGCUCAGCACGCCUCCCCCAGCACCUCAGACCGAGGACAUGACGUAUGCAAAGCUGAUCUUUGACAGCACAGGAGCAAUACCUGCAGCCUCGGAAGUGGUGUACGCAGAAAUAAAACCACUGCAAAAGAAGUAGAGAGCUGAGGAUGGCCAACUGCUCUGCAGCACGAAGAGUGAGAAAGGAGAGACAAGCAGCUGGUGACCUGGCUGCCAUAGCUACGAUCCUUGAAAACCAGGCAUUAGCUCUUAACAAGUGCAUUGGGUGAUGGAUAUGCUGGUAGAGCCCUGGAGCAGCGUUCUUCAUUUCCUCACUGUGUCCAGAUCCAGCAUCUGCUGUGCUGGAUUUGGCUCUGCUCUGAUUCACACACUUGAAACAUGACAAGCAAAGGUAUAAACGCAUCGUUUGCUGUGGAGAGGUGCAGCAUGGAUACAUCCAGAGCAAACCAGUGACCGGCCGCCAGCCUGAUGGAACCCCAUUCACCCUCUGAGCCUGACAAGUCAGCCAGUUGCUCACCUAUAAUGUUUUAUUUUUUGCUAGCUCUAUGCUGGACAUUUUGUCUGGAAGGAAACAGUGUCCAAAGCCUUACUGAAACCCCAAAAAGUUAACAUUGACUGGCUUCACUUGGUCAACCAGAUAGGUAGCCUUGUUGUAUGAGGAAAUCAAGUUAAUCCAACAGGACCUAUGUAAUAUAUGUGUGUGUGUGUAUAUAUAUAUAAAAUAUCUUUUCUUUCUCCCUUUUUUCUUAGUAAAUAGUUUAUAUCUCAAUCCACC